rnacentral:rRNA from 1 species
CCUACGGGAGGCAGCAGUGGGGAAUUUUGGACAAUGGGCGAAAGCCUGAUCCAGCAAUGCCGCGUGUGGGAAGAAGGCCUUCGGGUUGUAAACCACUUUUGUACGGAACGAAACGGUUCGCUUUAAUACAGUGGGCUAAUGACGGUACCGUAAGAAUAAGCACCGGCUAACUACGUGCCAGCAGCCGCGGUAAUACGUAGGGUGCGAGCGUUAAUCGGAAUUACUGGGCGUAAAGCGUGCGCAGGCGGUUAUAUAAGACAGUUGUGAAAUCCCCGGGCUCAACCUGGGAAUUGCAUCUGUGGCUGUAUAGCUAGAGUACGGUAGAGGGGGAUGGAAUUCCGCGUGUAGCAGUGAAAUGCGUAGAUAUGCGGAGGAACACCGAUGGCGAAGGCAAUCCCCUGGACCUGUACUGACGCUCAUGCACGAAAGCGUGGGGAGCAAACAGGAUUAGAUACCCUGGUAGUCCACGCCCUAAACGAUGUCAACUGGUUGUUGGGUGCAUUAGUACUCAGUAACGAAGCUAACGCGUGAAGUUGACCGCCUGGGGAGUACGGCCGCAAGGUUGAAAACUCGAAAAGAGUAGUACGGACGUGUAGACGUACGUCGAACGGACGACCGACCGAACGGGAAGGGUUAGGAGG